CUACCCGGGUAUCUAAUCCUGUUUGCUCCCCACGCUUUCGUGCCUGAACGUCGGCGCUGGACCAGGAAGCCGCUUUCGCCACUGAUGUUCCUUCCGAUAUCUACGCAUUUCACCGCUACACCGGAAAUUCCGCUUCCCUCUUCCGCACCCUAGCUCCGCAGUCUCGAAUGCAAUUCCCAGGUUGAGCCCGGGGCUUUCACACCCGACUUACGAAACCGUCUACGCACGCUUUACGCCCAGUAAUUCCGAUUAACGCUUGCACCCUCUGUAUUACCGCGGCUGCUGGCAC
rnacentral:rRNA from 1 species